CAAUCUUUUUGGACUCACGUGAUUUCCAGCUCUUCUACUUUCAUUUUACAUUCUGAGAAACCCUGUCUUUGGUCCCCACCCAUGUUAUAAGGGAGAGGGACUCUCUUUCACUGCUCCCAGCCGAGGUAACAGAGCCGGCGGUGGGCUCCGGUUCCAAGAUGUCGCAGCCCCUCUGGCUGGCCGCCCUAGUCACCAUCUCCCAGGCUCUCCAGAUGUCUAUGGUGCAGCACGUCAGCCAAGCAGUGGUACCGCUGAUCCGGUAUGGCGAUCUCCUUCCCCUGGACCCAACACAGCCUGGGACACAAAUCCAGAAUGGAUUCAACAGCACGUCGUCUGUGCUGGCGAGCAAUUCCGGACUGAGCUGGUGAGCUUCCGAGAGCGGAUAGACCAAAUCUGAGGCCCGGUCAGCUGCAGCUUCGUGGUCAUCAUGGUGCAUGGGGACAGUGGAGUUGUCAUGGCAGCUGAUGGACGGCAUGUGAACCUGGACGAGCUGUUCGCAGAGAUGACCAACGCGACCUGCCAAGCGCUGCAGGGCAAACCCAAGGUCUUCGUCAUCCAGGCCUGCCGGGGGGGAAGAGGAGACCCAGGUGUGCUUCAAUGUGAUAAUCUCGUAGCUGACUCAGACAACCAGGUCCCUCAGUGGCGGAUUCCUACGCACACUGACUGCCUCUUCGUCUUUUCAUCCCCAGACGGUUAUUACUCAAUUAGAAAUGAAGCCACAGGCUCUUGGUUGAUUCAGAUCAUGGUGUAUGUCUUCACUACAAACCCCUACUGGGACAUCAUGGAGCUAUUCACCAAGGUAACGAACAUGAUUGCUCAGAAAGAGUUCAUGAUAAAGGAGAAAAUCAGAAUGACUCACCCAGAAAUAAAGUCCACUCUGACAAAAAAGCUCCGUUUGAAGGAGUAAGACUCACAGAUCAGACCCUGGGCCUGUCUAACACAGCUUCUCCUGUCCCGUUGUGCCCAUGAGACUUUCCGCCUAUCCAACCCAGUCUUUACACGAUUACCCCUGCGCAUCAGACUCUUAGUGCAUUCAGACACACACUCUAAGCAUCCAGACCCACAGCCUUCACUCGAGACAACGAGGUCUCCAGCUCUCACAUCUGCAGAGAAAAUGGGGUCAGAGGCGCCGCUGGCCUAAGUGUGACUGGCACCUGAAUCUGCAGAGAGCCUGAACCGAUUGCUCGGACAGGUGUGAACUGCCCCAAGUGUGACCAGUGCCUGGGGUGUAACUGACGCUGCCUGAGUCUGCAGAGAGCCUGAGCCGAUCGCAGGGAGUGGUGUGAACUGCCCCGAGUCUAACUGAGGCAGGAAAGUCUGCCGGGGACAGAGAUUUUAAGGCCAGAAGGGGACGUCUGAUCAUCUAGUCUGACCUCCUGUAUAACCCAGGACCAAAAAUGUCACCCCGUUACCGGUGCAUUGUGCCCUACAGCUUGUUUGGCUAAAGCAUCUUCCAGAAAGGCAGCCAUUUGCCCAGGGCUAAUCCGCCCUGCAGGUAGGCAAGAACAGUGGUUUGGGGUUGAAAUGCUCAGGAGAAUCUCAGCUCCGGUUACAAAGGCUGGUGCGCGUCCCCUUUCCUCUGAUGAACUAAUUAACGAGCUUGCAGUGGCUGAAGAGUUUGGAGCAACGUCAGACGGAAGGAGGAACAGAAAAAGCAGAAAAAGACGCGCGAGGGGGAGGCCGUUUCCAGUUCAGCGCUGCACAAACCGCACGGAGGAGAAAGAACCUGAGCAAACCUGGGAGCUGCAGCAGCUGGAGGUCGGGGUUUUCCAGCGAGCCUCGGAGAAGGAAGCAGAAAAGGCCAAAGGGGAAGCUGCACACAGCACUGGGACGAGGGGCCUGGGAACAAGCCGAGGUGUUGGCCGGUCAGAGGCCCUGCAGCAGACAGGGGGAGUGGCACUUCACCAGGCAACAGAGCCAGGGCAGCAG